GAUGAACGCUAGCGGCAGGCUUAACACAUGCAAGUCGAGGGGUAUAGUUCCUCGGAGCUAGAGACCGGCGCACGGGUGCGUAACGCGUAUGCAAUCUACCUUUUGCAGAGGGAUAGCCCAGAGAAAUUUGGAUUAAUACCCCAUAGUAUGUGAGAAUGGCAUCAUUUUCACAUUAAAGUCCCACCGGCAAAAGAUGAGCAUGCGUCCCAUUAGCUUGUUGGUAAGGUAACGGCUUACCAAGGCAACGAUGGGUAGGGGUCCUGAGAGGGAGAUCCCCCACACUGGUACGGAGACACGGACCAGACUCCUACGGGAGGCAGCAGUGAGGAAUAUUGGACAAUGGGCGCAAGCCUGAUCCAGCCAUGCCGCGUGCAGGAUGACGGUCCUAUGGAUUGUAAACUGCUUUUGUACAGGAAGAAACACUGGUUCGUGAACCAGCUUGACGGUACUGUAAGAAUAAGGAUCGGCUAACUCCGUGCCAGCAGCCGCGGUAACAC
rnacentral:rRNA from 1 species